rnacentral:rRNA from 1 species
UACGUAGGGGGCAAGCGUUGUCCGGAUUUAUUGGGCGUAAAGAGCGUGUAGGCGGCCAUGUAGGUCCGUUGUGAAAACUCGAGGCUCAACCUCGAGACGCCGAUGGAAACCAUGUGGCUAGAGUCCGGAAGAGGAGAGUGGAAUUCCUGGUGUAGCGGUGAAAUGCGCAGAUAUCAGGAAGAACACCCGUGGCUAAGGCGGCUCUCUAGUACGGUACUGACGCUGAGACGCGAAGGCGUGGGGAGCGAACAGG